CUGUCGUCAGCUCGUGUCGUGAGAUGUUGGGUUAAGUCCCGCNAACGAGCGCAACCCCURUGCUUAGUUGCAAGUCUAAGSAGACUGCCGGUAGAAAACCGGAGGAAGGUGGGGAUGACGUCAAGUCAGCAUGGCUCUUACGUUCUGGGCUACACACACGCUACAAUGGCUGGUACAAAGGGAAGCAAGACCGCGAGGKGGAGCAAAUCUCAAAAAGCCAGUCUCAGUUCGGAUAGCAGGCUGCAACUNCGCCUGCUUGAAGUCGGAGUUGCUAGUAACC
rnacentral:rRNA from 1 species